UACGUAGGGGGCUAGCGUUGUCCGGAAUCAUUGGGCGUAAAGCGCGUGUAGGCGGCCCGGUAAGUCCGCUGUGAAAGUCGGGGGCUCAACCCCCGGAUGCCGGUGGAUACUGUCGGGCUUGAGUGCGGAAGAGGCGAGUGGAAUUCCUGGUGUAGCGGUGAAAUGCGCAGAUAUCAGGAGGAACACCAAUUGCGAAGGCAGCUCGCUGGGACGUUACUGACGCUGAGACGCGAAAGCGUGGGGAGCAAACAGG
rnacentral:rRNA from 1 species